rnacentral:rRNA from 1 species
GACGAACGCUGGCGGCGUGCCUAAUACAUGCAAGUUGAGCGAUGAAGAUUGGUGCUUGCCCCAAUUUGAAGAGCAGCGAACGGGUGAGUAACGCGUGGGGAAUCUGCCUUUGAGCGGGGGACAACAUUUGGAAACGAAUGCUAAUACCGCAUAAUAACUUUAAACAUAAGUUUUAAGUUUGAAAGAUGCAAUUGCAUCACUCAAAGAUGAUCCCGCGUUGUAUUAGCUAGUUGGUGAGGUAAAGGCUCACCAAGGCGAUGAUACAUAGCCGACCUGAGAGGGUGAUCGGCCACAUUGGGACUGAGACACGGCCCAAACUCCUACGGGAGGCAGCAGUAGGGAAUCUUCGGCAAUGGACGAAAGUCUGACCGAGCAACGCCGCGUGAGUGAAGAAGGUUUUCGGAUCGUAAAACUCUGUUGGUAGAGAAGAACGUCGGUGAGAGUGGAAAGCUCAUCAAGUGACGGUAACUACCCAGAAAGGGACGGCUAACUACGU